GAUGAACGCUGGCGGCGUGCCUAAUACAUGCAAGUCGAGCGAACAGACGAGGCGCUUGCUCCUCUGACGUUAGCGGCGGACGGGUGAGUAACACGUGGAUAACCUACCUAUAAGACUGGGAUAACUUCGGGAAACCGGAGCUAAUACCGGAUAAUAUCUUGAACCGCAUGGUUCAAUAGUGAAAGACGGUUUUGCUGUAACUUAUAGCUGGAUACGGGCCGCAUUAGCUAGUUGGUAAGGUAACGGCUUACCAAGGCGACGAUGCGUAGCCGACGUGAUAGGGUGAUCGGCCACACUGGAACUGAGACACGGUCCAGACUCCUACGGGAGGCAGCAGUAGGGAAUCUGCCGCAAUGGGCGAAAGCCUGACGGAGCAACGCCGCGUGAGUGAUGAAGGUCUUCGGAUCGUAAAACUCUGUUAUUAGGGAAGAACAAAUGUGUAAGUAACUAUGCACGUCUUGACGGUACCUAAUCAGAAAGCCACGGCUAACUACGUG
rnacentral:rRNA from 1 species